rnacentral:rRNA from 1 species
AGAGUUUGAUCCUGGCUCAGGAUGAACGCUAGCGGCAGGCUUAAUACAUGCAAGUCGAGGGGUAACAGGGGUAGCAAUACCUGCUGACGACCGGCAAACGGGUGCGGAACACGUACGCAACCUUCCCAUAACUGGUGAAUAGCCCUCCGAAAGGAGGAUUAAUACACCGUAACAUAAUGAAGUGGCAUCACUUUAUUAUUAUAGACUUCGGUCGGUUUUGGAUGGGCGUGCGCCUGAUUAGGUAGUUGGCGGGGUAACGGCCCACCAAGCCUGCGAUCAGUAACUGGUGUGAGAGCACGACCAGUCACACGGGCACUGAGACACGGGCCCGACUCCUACGGGAGGCAGCAGUAAGGAAUAUUGGUCAAUGGACGAAAGUCUGAACCAGCCAUGCCGCGUGAAGGAUGAAGGCCCUCUGGGUUGUAAACUUCUUUUAUCUGGGACGAAAAAAGGGAAUUCUUUCCCACUUGACGGUACCAGAGGAAUAAGCACCGGCUAACUCCGUGCCAGCAGCCGCGGUAAUACGGAGGGUGCAAGCGUUAUCCGGAUUUACUGGGUUUAAAGGGUGCGUAGGUGGGUAGGUAAGUCAGUGGUGAAAUCUUCGAGCUUAACUCGGAAACUGCCAUUGAUACUAUUUAUCUUGAAUUAUCUGGAGGUGAGCGGAAUAUGUCAUGUAGCGGUGAAAUGCUUAGAUAUGACAUAGAACACCGAUUGCGAAGGCAGCUCACUACGGAUAUAUUGACACUGAGGCACGAAAGCGUGGGGAUCAAACAGGAUUAGAUACCCUAGUAGUCC